CGAGUCUUGUUUCAAAUAUAUGUAUUUCUAUUGCUUGAGUACGUAAGGAAAAGGAAAGGUUAACCGCUAUCAAAAACAAAAACUAAUUACAUACACCC
rnacentral:rRNA from 1 species